AAACGGAGGGGUCGAGUGUUACUCGUAAGAAUUGGGCGUAAAGGGUUCGUAGGCUGUUUAUUAUGUUGGCUGUUAAAUUCUAAAUAUAUGUUUUUAGAGAGCGCAGUCAUUACUAAUAUAACUUGAGUUUUAGCAGAGGAUAUUGGAACUCUUAGUGGAGUAGCUAAAUGCAGAGAUACUAAUGGGGGCUACCAACUUGCGAAGGCGAAUAUCUGGGCUAUUAACUGACGCUGAGGGACGAAAGCAUGGGGAGCGAACGGG
rnacentral:rRNA from 1 species